GAUGAACGCUGGCGGCGUGCCUAAUACAUGCAAGUCGAGCGAACGGACGAGAAGCUUGCUUCUCUGAUGUUAGCGGCGGACGGGUGAGUAACACGUGGAUAACCUACCUAUAAGACUGGGAUAACUUCGGGAAACCGGAGCUAAUACCGGAUAAUAUUUUGAACCGCAUGGUUCAAAAGUGAAAGACGGUCUUGCUGUCACUUAUAGAUGGAUCCGCGCUGCAUUAGCUAGUUGGUAGGGUAACGGCUUACCAAGGCAACGAUGCAUAGCCGACCUGAGAGGGUGAUCGGCCACACUGGAGGUGGGACACGGUCCAGAGUCCUACGGGAGGCAGCAGUAGGGAAUCUUCCGCAAUGGGGGGAAGCCUGACGGAGCGGCGCCACGUGAGUGAUGACGGUCUUCGGAUCGUAAAACUCUGUUAUUAGGGAAGAACAUAUGUGUAAGUAACUGUGCACAUCUUGACGGUACCUAAUCAGAAAGCCACGGCUAACUACGUG
rnacentral:rRNA from 1 species